GCCUAACACAUGCAAGUCGAGCGGCAGCGAGAUUAGUAGCAAUACUAAUUGUCGGCGAGCGGCGGACGGGUGAGGAACACGUAGGAACCUGUCGUUGAGAGGGGGAUAACCAAGGGAAACUUUGGCUAAUACCGCAUAUACUCAAAGGAGUAAAGGAGCUCGUAAGGGUUUCGCUUAAUGAGGGGCCUGCGUCCGAUUAGCUAGUUGGUAAGGUAACUGCUUACCAAGGCGAUGAUCGGUAACUGGUCUGAGAGGACGACCAGUCACACUGGGACAGAGACACGGCCCAGACUCCUACGGGAGGCAGCAGUGGGGAAUAUUGGACAAUGGGGGCAACCCUGAUCCAGCGAUGCCGCGUGGGUGAAGAAGGCCUUCGGGUUGUAAAGCCCUUUAGGUUGGGAAGAAGCGAGUGGGGGGAAAUACCCAUUUGUUGACGGUACCGACAGAAUAAGCACCGGCAAACUCUGUGCCAGCCGCCGCGGUAA
rnacentral:rRNA from 1 species